GAAAUGGAAUGCCAAUAUAAAAGCCGCUAACUUUUUAUAAUAGCGGUUUAACUCCGUUAACAUUUCU
rnacentral:tRNA from 2 species